rnacentral:rRNA from 1 species
GACGAACCGUGCGAACGUUAUUCGGAAUCACUGGGCGUAAAGGGCGUGUAGGCGGGACGGUAAGUCGGGCGUGAAAUCCCUAGGCUCAACCUAGGAACUGCACUCGAAACUACCAUUCUUGAGUGUCGGAGAGGAAAGCGGAAUUCCUGGUGUAGAGGUGAAAUUCGUAGAUAUCAGGAGGAACACCAGUGGCGAAGGCGGCUUUCUGGACGAUAACUGACGCUGAGACGCGAAAGCGUGGGGAGCAAACAGG